AUGCUUCAACUUUUUCGGGAGCCCCUGUCUUAUCAUAUCAUUAAUAUUGACAUUAUUCAGGAUGACAAUGAUGAUUUGCCUUGUUGGCCUUUAGCGCCGAAUGGUAGUUGUUCUCCUAAAUCUGCUUACCAAAUUUGCUUACAAGACACUCAUGCCCAUCCUAGAACAACUCCCUCUCUAGUUUCUGCAGACUUAAAAAACUUUCUUAACCUAGUGUGGAAGCACAAAUCCUUGCUUCCUAAAAUUAAAAUGUUUGCUUGGUGUCUCCUCAGCAAGGCUCUGCCUACUGGUAUGAGAGCAGGAAGAUUCUCCAACCAUACUUCUCAAAUUUGCUCCAAAUGUACUCAACAAGAGGAUGAUUUUCAUCUCUUUUUCCUUUGUCAUUUUGCUAGAGCUGCCUGGUUUGCUCAUCCUUGGUUUAUUAGAUCUGAUGCUCUCGUUCAUAAUCAGGACUCUUUGCUUACCACCAUUACGUCUUUAAUGACUUCAUAUCACCCUCAUGCUUCGCUACAGAAUAUUUUCAAUUUCUUAUGGUCCUUAUGGAAAGCUAGGAACGAUUGUCUUUUUGAACGCAGGAAAGGGCAUCCUAAUAGGAUCCAUGUUAUGGCUGCUAGUACGGAUAGUGCAUUGCAAGCUGAGGCACUUUUGUCAUCUGAUGGGCAAAAUAGUGUUACUAACAAUCUUCAUAAUGAACAACAAAUUCCUUUGCAGGGAAAAUCCAUUCAAUCUGAUCUCAUCAUUAAGGGGCGAAGAUUUAUUUGGAUGCAGCUUUUCGAACUUAAAAAAUACCAGGUACUCUUCGAGGACAGGUUGGUACAGGUAUUGGUAUCUACUUUUAUCUUCCUAUUGAUCAUGGGGAGCUUAAUAUUCAGAUUUAGGCUUCUGCCCUUGUAA
rnacentral:rRNA from 1 species